UGAAAAAGAACCUGAAACCGUGUACGUACAAGCAGUGGGAGCACCCUGUGUGACUGCGUACCUUUUGUAUAAUGGGUCAGCGACUUAUAUUCUGUAGCAAGGUUAACCGAAUAGGGGAGCCGUAGGGAAACCGAGUCUUAAUUGGGCGUUAAGUUGCAGGGUAUAGACCCGAAACCCGGUGAUCUAGCCAUGGGCAGGUUGAAGGUUGGGUAACACUAACUGGAGGACCGAACCGACUAAUGUUGAAAAA
rnacentral:rRNA from 1 species